CCCUUAGAUGUUCUGGGCCGCACGCGCGCUACACUGACGAUGUCAGAGAGUGUCUCCUUCACCGAGAGGUGUGGGUAAUCUUUUAAACAUCGUCGUGCUGGGGAUAGAUCAUUGCAAUUUUUGAUCUUAAACGAGGAAUUCCUAGUAAGCGCGAGUCAUCAGCUCGCGCUGAUUACGUCCCUGCCCUUUGUACACACCGCCCGUCACUACUACCGAUUGAAUGGUUUAGUGAGGCCUUCUGACUGGCGCCGCUACUCUGGCAACAGAGCGGCGGAUGCCGGGAAGUUGGUCAAACUUGAUCAUUUAGAGGAAGUAAAAGUCGUAACA
rnacentral:rRNA from 1 species